UUUAAACAGUAAACAAAACAAAUCAGAAUAUAAUUUUGGUAAUUACGUAAUAAUAUUAAAAAUUCUCCUUGAAAAAUGUUUUAAAGAAAGAAUUAUUUGACAUUUCUUCAAUAUUCUACCUUAUUCGAAAUUGAACUUUAUAUCAAAGAUUAUAUAAUAUUAUAUAAGUUUAAUAUAAAAGCAAUAAUUAAAAACUUACCUUCAGGUACAUAAAUUAUAUCCGACUUGCAGUAAUUUUUGAGAGGUGAAUUUUCAAUAGCACAAGAUAAUAAUGAAAUUAUUAUUUAACAGCUGUAAUUUGUUAACUAUGGAAUUUACAUUUUAAAUGAAGGCAAAGCAGGCGAUUUUGCGUAAUAUUAUCCAAAGAGAGAAUUUUAGUUGCAACGGGUUAUAAAUCAAAUGUUGUUUUCGGAACGUUGAGUUUGAGCUCUAAAAUGCAUAUUACGCAAAUGCAGGAAGGGAAAAUGGAUUAUGGUUACCCUUCCUCAAACCACAUUACCAACAGAAAUGCAUUUUGAUGAAAUUGUGGUCAUGGUGAACACAACAUAAAAAUGUCCUCGUCUUCAUUUUUACCAUUUAGAACAAUUUACAUGCUUGUAGAGUUAUUUACAAAAAUUAUUUUCUCUUUUUAAUUUUACUCAGUUUGCUUAAUUUCUAAUUAAAAUUUAUUGACAGUAAUUUAACAUUUUCUCGAUUGUACCUGCAAAAAUUACAGUUUCAAUUAAAAAGUAAUUUCAAUUAUUUUUCUAAAUAGUAAAAUUCUUUGCAAAAAUUCAA